rnacentral:rRNA from 1 species
GUAACCUGCCUUAUAGUGGGGGAUAGCCUUUCGAAAGGAAGAUUAAUACCGCAUAAGAUUGUAGUAUCGCAUGAUAUAGCAAUUAAAGGAGCAAUCCGCUAUAAGAUGGGCCCGCGUCGCAUUAGCUAGUUGGUGAGGUGAUGGCUCACCAAGGCGACGAUGCGUAGCCGACCUGAGAGGGUGAUCGGCCACAUUGGGACUGAGACACGGCCCAGACUCCUACGGGAGGCAGCAUG